rnacentral:rRNA from 1 species
UACGUAGGUGACCAGCGUUGUCCGGAUUUACUGGGCGUAAAGAGCGCGCAGGCGGUCGUUCAAGUCGAGUGUGAAAGCCCCCGGCUCAACUGGGGAGGGUCAUUCGAUACUGAUCGACUUGAAGGCAGGAGAGGGAAGCGGAAUUCCCGGUGUAGUGGUGAAAUGCGUAGAUAUCGGGAGGAAACACCAGUGGCGAAGGCGG